CGCUGUAUGGGCACCUGAUCUAGCCAUGCCGCGUGAGUGAUGAAGGCCCUAGGGUCGUAAAGCUCUUUCGCCAGGGAUGAUAAUGACAGUACCUGGUAAAGAAACCCCGGCUAACUCCGUGCCAGCAGCCGCGGUAAUACGGAGGGGGUUAGCGUUGUUCGGAAUUACUGGGCGUAAAGCGCGCGUAGGCGGAUCAGAAAGUUGGGGGUGAAAUCCCGGGGCUCAACCCCGGAACUGCCUCCAAAACUCCUGGUCUUGAGUUCGAGAGAGGUGAGUGGAAUUCCGAGUGUAGAGGUGAAAUUCGUAGAUAUUCGGAGGAACACCAGUGGCGAAGGCGGCUCACUGGCUCGAUACUGACGCUGAGGUGCGAAAGUGUGGGGAGCAAACAGGAUUAGAUACCCCGGUAGUCAA
rnacentral:rRNA from 1 species